CCCUCACCCACUUCCGGCGCGCGGGCCGCGGGCGCGCUGAGGUGCGAGAGCGGUGGGGUCGCGUCGCGCCGGCUCGGGACAAAUGGCAAAAACAACUGCCUUGAUUUCAUGUGAAUGGGAGAGCUUAUCCAGUGGGCGCAUCACACGUGACUCAAAAAAUGCCGUCUGUCGAACACUCCAGAAAAAGGACAAGCUGCUGUGCCCUGGAGAUCCGCUGGAGGACGCAGAGAGGGCUCUGGGAUGACGGCAACACCAGUGUUGGAGAUGAGGAGCAGUCUGAGUAAGGUCAUUUCAGGAAAAGUCGGAGUGAAAAACAUGUACCUGAGGUAAUAUUUUAUGCAAAAUGUCAUUUGCAAUAUGUACAUAAAACCAAAUUGAUAAAUAUUAUAAAUCUACUUCUGUUUCCUUUACAUUUUGUUAUGGGUUGAAUUGUGUCCCCCCCAAAAAUCUGUUGAAAUCCUAACCCCCAGGGCCUCAGAAUGGGAUCUGAGUUGGAAAUAGGGUCAUGGCAGAUGGGAUUAGUGGAGAUGAGGCCACACUGGAACAGAGGAGCCCUUCACCCAACAUGACUGUGUCUUUGUAAGUAAAGGAGGAGGGACACAGGCGCACAGGGAGAAGGCUGGAAGAUGGGGGCCGUGAGCCCAGGGUCGUCAGGGGUUGCCAGCAGCCACCAGGAGCUGGAAGGGGCAAGGACAGGGCCUCCGUGCAGGUUUCAGAGGGAGCCUGUCCCUGCCGACAUCUUGAUUUUGGACGUCUAGCUCCAGAAGCACGAGAUGAUAGAUUUCUGUUGUUCGAAGCCGCCCAGUUUGUGGCACUUUGUUCCAGCAGUCCUAGGAAACCAAGACAUGCUCUCAAACCGUUGAGCCAAAAUUGACCAGAUCUUUUUGGGGAGCUUUGCUGGGGAGACAGGCAUUCACCCCACAUUCCGGCAGGCCCAGGAACUGUGAGCCCAGUUUCUAGGCCUCGAGUAUCUGACUGACCAGCGCCACAUCCUAUGCUCACAUCUCAGGGGCGAGGGUCUGAGAGCAAAGACCUACUAAGACUUCAGAUUUUCCACGUGGCAGAAGGGAGUUCGGGGCCUGCACCACCAAAGCUCCCGUCGCUGUGCCUUGGAACCCAUCAGUGGCAGGGCUGAGACUGAGACCUGGGACCACGUGCCUUGCCACUGUCCCCUUCUGUCCUGCCUUGGGUCUGGGGACGGUGUCCACACCACCUCAUUGGUUGCUGGCGUCCGAGGCUUCAGGAGUGGAGAUCUCGCCUUGCCCUGCUGGACUGGGAACCUCUGGCCAGGAGCCCGAGUUGACCACCGACAAGACGAAAUCCCAGCAGCAGGCCAGUAACCAGCGUGCCGGGGACUCGGGGGGCAAAGGGUACGGAAAGACGUAUUCCAGGCUGCCUCGCCCGAAAGCUCCUCGUCUCCUCUUAACACCAGCUGUAUCUGACCUUGAGUGCAGCAUCUCCAACAUAAAAUCGCCAGGUUCCUCUUUUUGCCUCCCCCCAUUUUAUAUCCAAGCACGUUUUAAAGGGGGAGGUGCUCAUGUGAGGUGCCUAUUCCCAGUUUAUAUUUUACAGGUUUUGUCUUUCUCCAUACAUGAUAAAGAUCAUCAAUUAAAGGAAGGUUUAGGAGUGUUGGUUUUGG